rnacentral:rRNA from 1 species
AUUGAACGCUGGCGGAAUGCUUUACACAUGCAAGUCGAGCGGCAGCACGGGGGCAACCCUGGUGGCGAGCGGCGAACGGGUGAGUAAUACAUCGGAACAUGCCCAGUCGUGGGGGAUAACACUUCGAAAGAAGUGCUAAUACCGCAUACGUCCUGAGGGAGAAAGCGGGGGAUCUUCGGACCUCGCGCGAUUGGAGUGGCCGAUGGGAGAUUAGCUAGUUGGUGGGUAAAGUCCUACGAAGGCAACGAUCUGUAGAUGGUCUGAGAGGAUGAUCAGCAACACUGGGACGGAGACACGGCACAGACUCCUACGGGAGGCAGCAGUGGGGAAUUUUGGACAAUGGGGGCAACCCUGAUCCAGCCAUUCCGCGUGAGUGAAGAAGGCCUUCGGGUUGUAAAGCUCUUUCGGCAGGAACGAAACGGCGAGCUCUAACAUAGCUUGCUAAUGACGGUACCUGAAGAAGAAGCACCGGCUAACUACGUGCCAGCCGCCGCAGUAAUAC